rnacentral:snRNA from 1 species
GUGCUCGCUUUGGCAGCACAUAUACUAAAAUUGGAACGAUACAGAGAUUAGCAUGGCCCCUGCACAAGGAUAACACACAAAUUCUUUUAAAAAGAAAU